rnacentral:lncRNA from 1 species
UUGGAGCUCAGAGAAGUUAUGGCCCAAGAUGGAAGAGCAAGUCUGUGGCAGACGAGGUCCAAGAACUCGCUCUCCUGAUGCCUCAGUUGAGAACACGUUCUACUUCACUACCUGGUCUCCCAGCUACCCAAGGGCAUAUGAACAACCAGGGAAUUACUUUGGGGGAUACCAGCAAGGAGAUUUGGAGAUCCUGGAAAUUGGAAAAAACAAAACAAUCUGUCUAGGACGGCAGAGAGAGCUGGUCUCAUCCAGGACACUAAUUCCUGCCCUUGGACACUGGUACUCCUGGUUCUCAGGCCUUUGAACUUGGACCGGGACUUACACCAUCAGCUCCCCUGGUUAUAUACCACCAGCCUUCUUGGUUCUUCACCUUCAGACAACAGACAGUGGGACUUCUUGACCUCCAUUUCCAAUUCCCAAAAUAAAUCUUCUUAUAUCUAUG